rnacentral:rRNA from 1 species
UAGGGAAUCUUCCGCAAAGGGCGAAAGCCUGAAGGAGCAACGCCGCGUGAGUGAUGAAGGGCCUCGGAUCGUAAAAACCUGUUAUUAGGGAAGAAAAAAUGUGUAAGUAACAAUGGACGUCUUGACGGUACCGAAUCAGAAAGCCACGGCUAACUACGUGCCAGCAGCCGCGGUAAUACGUAGGUGGCAAGCGUUAUCCGGAAUUAUUGGGCGUAAAGCGCGCGUAGGCGGUUUUUUAAGUCUGAUGUAAAAGCCCACGGCUCAACCGUGGAGGGUCAUUGGAACCUGGAAAACUUGGGUGCAGAAAGGGAAGGUGGAAUUCCAGGUGUAGCGGGAAAUUGCGCAGGAAUAUGGAGGACAACCAUUGGCUAAGCCGACUUUCUGGUCUGUAAUUGACCCUGAUGUGCGAAAGCGUGGGAAUCAAACAGG